rnacentral:rRNA from 1 species
GAGCGGUAACAGGUGUAGCAAUACAUGCUGACGAGCGGCGAACGGGUGAGUAAUGCUUCGGAAUCUGCCCAAUGGUGGGGAAUAACCAGCCGAAAGGUUGGCUAAUACCGCAUGAGCCCUACGGGGGAAAGCCAGGGGAUCGCAAGACCUUGCGCCGAUGGAUGAGCCGAAGCCGGAUUAGCUAGUUGGUAGGGUAACGGCCUACCAAGGCGACGAUCCGUAGCUGGUCUGAGAGGACGACCAGCCACACUGGGACUGAGACACGGCCCAGACUCCUACGGGAGGCAGCAGUGGGGAAUAUUGGACAAUGGGGGCAACCCUGAUCCAGCGACGCCGCGUGUGUGAAGAAGGCCUGCGGGUUGUAAA